CGGGCCAAUUGCACAUCCCUAUGAUGGCGACUUUGCAUCCGUAAGUCAUCCAUAGCAACGUUCAAUGCCAGUUUCUGCGUCUUCCAUGGUGACUACGGGUAACUGGGAAUCAGGGUUCCAUUCCGUACAGGGACCCUGAGAAAUGGCUACCACAUGCAAGGAAGGCAGCAGGCGCGCAAAUGACCCACUCCCGAUGCGGGAAGGUAGUG